GCUUGGGCGAGAGUAGUACUAGGAUGGGUGACCUCCUGGGAAGUCCUCGUGUUGCAUUCCCUUUUUAAUUAUUUUUUGCGCCUUAUGACAAACAUAUCGCACGUGCGCGAUAUAUAUUAAUCCCGUUAUAUUAUUUUUGACGUUUGCGAUAUGUUUAAGCUCGAUGCUCAUUGCUCGCGCGUCUUGGGGCGGCUUUGUGGCGCGAAGAGCGCGUUCUGAAAGGGGUGGAAAAAACUCGUGUUGCUGCGGUAUGGAGGGAGGGGUGGAAACCGUGGAAAACUCGUCUCCGUGAUUGAGCGGGAGAAUAAGUAGUAUAGGACAUUAUCCAUUGUUAGGGAACGGUUGUAAUGGUAGUGAGAAUGUAGAAUCGUCUUUGGAGCGGACCUGAGAGUGGCAAGCAUAAGGGACGAAGACGGGGAAACAUGUCGGACGCGAUCAUACCAGCACUAAAGCACCGGAUCCCAUCAGAACUCCGAAGUUAAGCGUGCUUGGGCGAGAGUAGUACUAGGAUGGGUGACCUCCUGGGAAGUCCUCGUGUUGCAUUCCCUUUUUAAUUAUUUUUUGCGCCUUGUGACAAACAUAUCGCACAUGCGCGAUAUAUAUUAAUCCCGUUAUAUUAUUUUUGACGUUUGCGACAUGUUUAAGCUCGAUGCUCAUUGCUCGCGCGUCUUGGGGCGGCUUUGUGGCGCGAAGAGCGCGUUCUGAAAGGAGUGGAAAAAACUCGUGUUGCUGCGGUAUGGAGGGAGGGG
rnacentral:lncRNA from 1 species